AAAUUCUUAAUAACGAAUCUUCCAUAUUCCAGUGUGAUCCUAGACUCGGACCCAACAUCCAUCGUGAGUCGCGCUGCGUUGCGCACAGAGGACGUGCCACUAGGAGAGCAGACAGUAGCGCAGAUACUUAACCUCAUGAAUAUGUAAACGGGGAAGGUACGAGAGAUAAUUUACCGGUGGUAGUUAUUAACAUUGACCAAAGACAUUCGAAUAAAAAUAGACCUAAACUAGAUACCAAAAAUUACUGAGAAAAUAUUACUAAAUCUAGGAGGUUAUGGUUCAAAUUCAUAUGGCUUUAUAAAGGGUGUUUCAAAGGAAAUAUUGUAAUAAUAUUUAAUUUAUGAUUUUCAUGCUUGAACGCCAUGCUUUGCUUACGUUUUUUGUUUGGAAUUGUUUAAAUUUUCAAAAAUUUUUGUUCUAGAUAUUAGCUGGGAAUUUCUUAUUUUAAAAA